ACCGUAGUAGAACACAACAACCCAAUACUCACGAACACGCUCCACUAACCCAUUCAAACCCAACCACCCAGUUACCACCCAUAAUGCUCGACCCACAGUAAUAUUCCCUUCUCCGGCUGUGAAACAUCCGUGCGCGAGACGUGUGUACAAACCUGGCAAUUACCCGUUAUGACCAGUGAGGGUACCACAUUCGAAAAUGACGAAACUAACCCGACAUAUCUCCGUGUAAAGCUACGGUACUUAACAAGUUGGUUAACUUCGAGCCCUGAAGAAGAUCCAAACCAUAGGAUCGAAACGUCGGCGAUGAAUUAAAAUUAUCAACGCUUUUGAUUGUGACUGCAAGCCGAAAUCCAAAAUUAAGUUC